GGCGGCCGCGGGGGUGGGGCGCGGCGUCAGCGCGUCGCCGGCUGGGCCGCGCCGGUGACCAGGAGGGAGAGACGGAGAGGAGGAGGCGGAGGGGUAGGAGGAGGAGGAGGUGGUGACACAGAUGAUAAAAAUCCGUUCGAGAAUUUAUAUGUGACAUCUGCAGCAGGUUCAUAUCUCUCAGCUAUAAGACAAACUGGAUACUUCGUAAAGAUUUUCAUCUGUUAUGCACAGAGAGCCAAAAUCCGUUACUGAAAUUGUCUGGGUGAGCUGCCUGCUGGGUCCAGUGAUGCACUAGUAGACAAAGAAGUUGAAAAAGAAGGCUGACUGGAUGACUGGCAGAAUGUGACACCAAUAUGGCAUCAAGAAGCCCUGCUAUGAGUCCAAGGACUUUGACUAUGACUAAAUAAAAAUGACUUCUUUUUUGGUGGGGUGGGGGUGAGGCUGGUUGAAGUGAAUUUGAUAUUUUCUUGGGGAAUGUGUAAUGUAUUCUCAUUCCAUAGUGAUACAUGGUAAUUGCCUUGGUAAUCAGUCUUUAAAGUUCAUAUAUAUAUAUAUCGAAGUUAUGUAGUUAUACUUUUUAUUAUUGGGUUCUCUUACCACAAAGUAAAUACUGUAAAGACAAACAUUUGCUUAACUUAAAAAUGUUAACUUAAAAAGAUUGAUUUAAGGACUAUGAUUUUCACAUAGAAAUUUUCACUUAGGGCAUUUUAUUUAUAAAAAGUUACUGUACCCCGAACUUUCUAGGAAAACAUCCUUUUCUGUAGUUUCUUGAAAGUCAGUAGGAAAUCAUACUGUACAGUAUUAAUAUAGAACAGUUAAUAAAUUAAUAACCAUUAAAAAUAACUAAUAACUUCAGAUCUAUUAACUAAAUUUACUUAAAAUAAUUUAAGGAGUGGGUGUGAACUGGAAAUAAACCUAUGUAUUUACUAGAAUUAUUGAAUCACAAGAAAACUAGAACAUCAAAGUAUUCUCUAAACCAAAUCAGUAUUUUAUUUGGUUAGAGUCCCUGCUUUUGGCAUCCAUCUAUUUAGAUUACUUAUAGAGGCUUUUAAAGCAGUUCUGGGAAAUGAGGUGGGUAGAUUUUCUCAAAGUUGAUUCCCAUUUAUUUUCUCAGUGAAUCUUGAACAUUUUUUUCUUCUUAGUAUUCAAGAAAAACUCUGUCAGUCUAGGAUAUAAAACAUAGGUUACAUUAUAUAUAGUUCAUACAGUUUAUUUACAAACAGAAAAAGAUUCCCUCUUGACUUACCUUGAAAUCUUUAUUCAAGGCCUGUACCAUUCAAUUUGUCAGCUUGCUGCUGCCACUACAGCUCGCUUUUGGUCAGAGUGCAGUGAAGCUAACAGCCAUUCUGCUGGGAAAAGAGUUCCCGGUUGCUGAAGAGUGGAAGUCACACACAUCUCAUUUACAAGUCAGAUCAGAGAUCAGAAUCAUACAAUAGCUUUAUGUGGAAUUGAUUUCAUUUCAUGGUUUUUAAGCUGUGUUUUUCAUUGAAGCAAUG